UACAGAGGGUGCUAGCGUUAAUCGGAUUUACUGGGCGUAAAGCGUGCGCAGGCUGCUUCGCAAGUCAGGCGUGAAAUCCCCUGGCUUAACCUGGGAAUGGCGUCUGAAACUACGGAGCUGGAGUGUGGCAGAGGGAGGUAGAAUUCCACGUGUAGCGGUGAAAUGCGUAGAUAUGUGGAGGAAUACCGAUGGCGAAGGCAGCCUCCUGGGCCAACACUGACGCUCAUGCACGAAAGCGUGGGGAGCAAACAGG
rnacentral:rRNA from 1 species